AACAAACUAAAAAAAAAGUCGUCCAAGACAAACUAAGAAGGUCGUCCUCCAGUAAUGAGAGUCUUCGGGUACUGGCAUUGAUCAAUCAACCGGUCACAUUCUGAACACUCGGGUAAAGGGGUACUCUUCUCCUUCAGUUGCACUCUGAGCUCCACAACUUCUUCUCUGAGCUGGCUCUCCGCUGCAUGCCUUAGGUCCACUUCUUUCUUCAACUGAAUAUCCUUGUCUUUAAGCUGCCU
rnacentral:lncRNA from 1 species